CGUAGGUGGCGAGCGUUGUCCGGAAUUACUGGGUGUAAAGGGCGUGUAGGCGGGGACGUAAGUCAGAUGUGAAAUUCCUGGGCUCAACCUGGGCGCUGCAUCUGAAACUAUGUCUCUUGAGUGCUGGAGAGGAAAGCGGAAUUCCUAGUGUAGCGGUGAAAUGCGUAGAUAUUAGGAGGAACACCAGUGGCGAAGGCGGCUUUCUGGACAGUAACUGACGCUGAGGCGCGAAAGCGUGGGGAGCAAACAGGAUUAGAUACCCUGGUAGUCCACGCUGUAAACGAUGGAUACUAGGUGUAGGAGGUAUCGACCCCUUCUGUGCCGCAGUUAACACAAUAAGUAUCCCACCUGGGGAGUACGGCCGCAAGGUUG
rnacentral:rRNA from 1 species